ensembl:lncRNA
GGAAUCGUCCAGCAGUUCUUGGUCUUGCUGACAACCAGUUCUGAUGAAAGUCUUCGAUUUCUUAGCUUUAGAUUGGACUUCAAUGAACAUUAUAAAGCAAGAGAACCAAGGCUUCGUAUUUCUCUGGGCACUAGAGGCAGACGAAGCUCACAUAUGUGAAACAGUUUCUAGUAACUACACCUCAGUAUCCGAAGGAUGUUGAACCUCUUGUUGGACAAUGCAAUCAGUGUCAACAUAAUUACACCAAGUGGCGUGCGAUAGGUGUCCACCAUUUCUGCAGGCAACGUUUCCCGUCAUGUGAUUGUGUGACACUAUAUAGCAGAAAGCAAAGUUAGCAGUUUCAAGUAGAAAUGAUUUAACGGGCAAAUUCUACAGCUACUGAACAGCAGCAAACUGUAGAAGCAGAGCAGGAGUGAAUUUAUUUCACCUAAGAUAUCCUAAGAACUGAAGUUAAAGCCUCGCUACUGUCAAAGGUACUGAGCUGAUGGCAAGGGUGCUCAUCCUUCCUCCUCGGUCUCAGCAGACCGGCUACUGUUGGAUCCGCCUCAAAGGCUCUUUGGGUUUCCCAUGGCUGUGUGAGCUUCCCCAGGGACACUGCAGCUGGUGGGGCUGCACCCUCCUGUUGUGGCCUUCCUGCUGGAUCCUGCGAGGGCCUUUAUUGCUUUCCUUCUUCUGCAAGCUGGCAACAGGGGUGACAAGUGUUUUCAGAGGCGGCAACUGUUUGACUACGUUCCUCUGGAAAGCCCCCUCUGACUUUUCUCUACCUGAAGACGUUCGGUUCUGCGCAUGGAAGACCAUCGCGCUAACCCCCAGCAGCCUCUGGUCUCACAUUAGCGCUCCUCUAAUCCAUUGCUCAGAGCUGCAUGGCCAUCCUUGGCAGCGCCUCCUUCCCCUUGCAGUCCCCAAAUCCGACAGGAUCCAGUGGAGCAGUCCUGGUGAGUUCAUGGAUAACCAUUUGCGUGCCACAUCUCAUCUGCACUCCCCCAUUCGGAUGAAUGAAACCUUAAUGACAGCCCGAGUCGGGAAACCAAAUUGAUGAUGGGACCAAGGGCAUCCCUUGAUGGAGUGCAGCUCCCUGACAGCUCCUCUCGCUCAUCCAACCCUGCCAUAAGCGCUGUGCAUUACACCCAGACAGAAAGGACCAAAAGAGCCAAGGACUCGCACCGUUUUAACCCACCAUUUUUAUUCUUCUAUUCGGAAUAUUCCUCUGAAGUACAAUGUCCCUGUUGGUAAUGAGAACACACACACUUGGAACGAUCGGCUUGGGGUAAAUUGAGGGCAAUGCAGAUAUCUGAGGAAGAGUCAUAACCACCCUCUGAGCUCCUCUGGUAUCUAGGCUGCAAUGAACGUUUUGAAUUCAUGGCAUUAAAUAACUGGGCAAGCUCUGUUGCAAAGUUCACCAGAAGUGGACUGGAGCUGUUGCUGAGAUUUUCAUUUUUUAUGGCGAGCUCAUCCUUUUUUCUCUCGCUUCCUGGUUUUGCUCGGCCUUCCUCUAUACUUGACUCUUCUCUGUUGGAAGCAGCGGCAGGAUUAGCUGGUACCGCUUCUCUGCAACAAUGAGAAUGGCUUUCAGCAAAGAGUACUCACUGCUAGGAAGGAAGAGUCCAGUUAAAAAAAGUUUACAGCAGACGUCUCAACAGCUCACCAGGCACUCCAUGCUACUAUCACUACACAUGCUUUGUUGCUAAAAUAUAGAAAAUAUAAAGAAUGUCGGAAAAGAACAACUCACCGUUUUCUCUUCCUCAUCAGGAAAAUAACUAUACAUGUCAGCACUAGCCCAAACAAUACGGAACCCGAGACUGCAGCAGGGAGGACCAAAYGAUGCUUUUCUACGGCUUUAUGAUCCGCAGCCUCUGCACCUUUGUCACCACCAAGACCUGGUGGUGGAAAGGAGACAAUCCCAUAUAUCACUGGGUUCUGCAGUAAUGAUAAUCUCACUGUGUGGCUGGGAUUCCCAGGCACUUUUACAUUCCCUGUUGUUACUAUCGCUGAUUCUGGUGUCUUGGCACCGGCGGACAAUAAAGUUCAUUUACACUUCUCUUGGGCA